CAGUAGCCGCGGUAAAACGAAGGGUGCAAGCGUUAAUCGGAAUUACUGGGCGUAAAGCGUGCGUAGGCGGUUUGUUAAGUCUGCUGUGAAAUCCCCGGGCUCAACCUGGGAAUGGCAGUGGAUACUGGCAAGCUAGAGUGUGUCAGAGGAUGGUGGAAUUCCCGGUGUAGCGGUGAAAUGCGUAGAGAUCGGGAGGAACAUCAGUGGCGAAGGCGGCCAUCUGGGACAACACUGACGCUGAGGCACGAAAGCGUGGGGAGCAAACAGGAUUAGAUACCCCUGUAGUCCCUGUCUCUUAUAU
rnacentral:rRNA from 1 species